AAUAAUCGUGUUGUUUGAUUUAACAUUACUAUUGUUCUUAAUAUAUUUUAAAAUUUAUUUAGGUAUGGACGUACGAGAUCCUAGCUUCAUCAAUAGCUGGGAACAUUGCAGAGCGAAGGAGCAAGGUGGCUUUGCCCCGCAUAUUAUGAUGGUCAUGUUCCCACUCAGUGUCCUUCAAAGUACUCGAGAGAGAGAUAUUCGAGUCUAACAAUAUAAAGAUUAAAGAGGGCACUGUGAUGUCAAAUGCUGAAAGGGAGUUUCGGGAUACCCCAGUGGAACGACGACCUAUAUUUGAGCUAGGUGCAGAUGAUGAUAGUUCUGAAAGUGGCAAUAGGUCGACAAGUGAGGGGGGUAGUCCCGAAAGUGAAAGUGACGGUGAUGACCAUCUUGGAGAUGACAAUGAUGAGGUUGUCAGGGUGGAGGGAGGGGAUGAACCCGAGCAUUCUGAGCACGAGGAUGCUGAAUAUGGAAAGGUGGAAGGAGGGACAUACAUACGUAAUGAUGAUAUGUUCCAUGAUAUGAUGGGGGACGUACGCGAGAAGGAUGAGUUGAACCAUGUUGAUGUCUUUCUUGCGGACUCCGGUAUAGAGCGACCUGUGGAUGAGGAGUGUCCUGAGUGUACUGCCCGUCGCAGGGAGGGAGCCAAUGCAGACGAGUCUAUUUAUUCGUACCUGUGAUCCAUUGACAGCUCACUAUCGAGGUUGGAUGGCCGUAUAUCGGGUUUAGAUAGUCGUAUCUCCAGUAUGGAGGAAAACAUGAUUGACAUGAAAGGGCAAUUGUCGGCCAUCCUGUCAUUGUUGCAGUCUAUGUGCAAGGUUCCACGGUGAAUGAGGAGACGACCAAGUCACCCAUCCCAUCUCGAGAUCCCGAUACGACUGCGACUGCCUCUAACACUCUCAUCUCCAUCUUCCCUCUACAGCCCGAUACCACCACUGCCACGACAUCACCGAUUGAAUUCGAACCUAUACAGGCCGACGUCCCACAAACAGAGCCCGACAUGUCUGCCUUACUUACCAUGCCACAUAUAGAGGCUGACAUGGCUGACAUCUUAGAGGCAGACACUUCGGGAUUGUUACGACCACAGAAGGAGUUCCACUGGAAUCUCGAAGAAUUAGUCGUAAGAGAAAACCGAUUGAUAAAUAUACACCCCCAUCCCAAGUAAAGAAGAAAAGUGUGGCUAAACAUCCUCUCCCAGGUGUAGCUACGUCAAUAUCCAGAUCGAUCGUCACAUAUAACGUAGCACACGAUGUUCCACACAAUAUCCUGACAAAAAUGAUGGGCUGGAUCUCGGAUGACAAUACAGACAAUGAGGUUCAAAAGAACUCCUUCAAACCACUCGACAAGAAAUUCUUCAAGGAAUUGAUUACCCCGAAUUCGUUGGUCGAGUACGAUGUAAGUGUCUUAGUCUUUACGGAUCUACAUGUUGGCUAUCUUGUACUUUUACUGACAUAUUAUUUUUUCGUGCAGACCAUAAAUACUUUAUUUUAUUUUAUGAAAGAUAAAUUUUAUACCCGGCCCGACAUGUGCAUUGCAUAAGUUCACCAUCUUGCCAAUUGGUGUAACGGUGAAUUUUGAUAUUUCGUUUCUUAACUUCUCAUUUCGUUAAGUUUCCUGAUCUUUACUUCUUUACUCAACUUCUCAUUUUAUUUGAUAGAGUCACCUCAAUGCUCGUGGUGGGGUAUUUAAAUGAAUAAAGAAUAAGUCACUUCUGGAGGUCGCCCUAGCUUGGGAAGAUGAAGACACGUAUAAAGACUACGUCACCGGUAAAUUCGAUGUCAAAU